rnacentral:rRNA from 1 species
UCUGGUUGAUCCUGCCAGUAGUCAUAUGCUUGUCUCAAAGAUUAAGCCAUGCAUGUCUAAGUAUAAGCAAUCUAUACAGUGAAACUGCGAAUGGCUCAUUAAAUCAGUUAUCGUUUAUUUGAUAGUGCAUUACUACAUGGAUAACCGUGGUAAUUCUAGAGCUAAUACAUGCGUAAAAUCCCGUCUGGGAUGUAUUUAUUAGAUAAAAAACCAAUGUCUUCGGACUUUUUGGUGAUUCAUGAUAACUUCUCGAAGCGCAUUGCCUUUGUGCUGGCGCUGGUUCAUUCAAAUUUCUGCCCUAUCAACUGUCGAUGGUAGGAUAGAGGCCUACCAUGGUAUCAACGGGUAACGGGGAAUUAGGGUUCGAUUCCGGAGAGGGAGCCUGAGAAACGGCUACCACAUCCAAGGAAGGCAGCAGGCGCGCAAAUUACCCAAUCCUGACACGGGGAGGUAGUGACAAUAAAUAACGAUACAGGGCCUUUGGUCUUGUAAUUGGAAUGAGAACAAUUUAAACCACUUAUCGAGGAACAAUUGGAGGGCAAGUCUGGUGCCAGCAGCCGCGGUAAUUCCAGCUCCAAUAGCGUAUAUUAAAGUUGUUGCAGUUAAAAAGCUCGUAGUUGAAACUUGGGAUUGGGAGUCUGGUCCACCUCACGGUGCGUACUGGAACUCUUGAUUCUUUUUGCCUGGACGUCUGUUGCGUUUAACCGCGUGGCAGAAAGGUCAGGCCAUUUACUGUGAGAAAAUUAGAGUGUUCAAAGCAGGCGUUUCGCUCGAAUAUAUUAGCAUGGAAUAAUAGAAUAGGACGUAUGGUUCUAUUUUGUUGGUUUCUAGGACCGUCGUAAUGAUUAAUAGGGACAGUCGGGGGCAUCAGUAUUCAAUAGUCAGAGGUGAAAUUCUUGGAUUUAUUGAAGACUAACUAUUGCGAAAGCAUUUGCCAAGGAUGUUUUCAUUAAUCAAGAACGAAAGUUAGGGGAUCGAAGACGAUUAGAUACCGUCGUAGUCUUAACCGUAAACUAUGCCGACUAGGGAUCGGACGGGUAGUUAUUUUAGCUCGUUCGGCACCUCGUGAGAAAUCAAAGUUUUUAGGUUCUGGGGGGAGUAUGGUCGCAAGGCUGAAACUUAAAGGAAUUGACGGAAGGGCACCACCAGGAGUGGAGCCUGCGGCUUAAUUUGACUCAACACGGGGAAACUCACCAGGUCCAGACACAAUAAGGAUUGACAGAUUGAGAGCUCUUUCUUGAUUUUGUGGGUGGUGGUGCAUGGCCGUUCUUAGUUGGUGGAGUGAUUUGUCUGCUUAAUUGCGAUAACGAACGAGACCUUGACCUACUAAAUAGCUGGGUCAACAAUUUGUUGAGUAUCAGCUUCUUAGAGGGACUAUCGGAGACAAUUCGAUGGAAGUUCGAGGCAAUAACAGGUCUGUGAUGCCCUUAGACGUUCUGGGCCGCACGCGCGCUACACUGACGCAGCCAGCGAGUACAUAACCUUGUCCGAGAGGAUUGGGUAAUCUUGUUAAACUGCGUCGUGCUGGGGAUAGAGCUUUGCAAUUUUUGCUCUUGAACGAGGAAUUCCUAGUAAGCGCAAGUCAUCAGCUUGCGUUGAUUACGUCCCUGCCCUUUGUACACACCGCCCGUCGUUACUACCGAUUGAAUGGCUUAGUGAGGCCUCCGGAUGCGAAUUCACUUGUGGGCAACCGCAACGAAGUCGCAGAAGCUGGACAAACUUGGUCAUUUAGAGGAAGUACAAGUCGUAACAAGGUUUCCGUAGGUGAACCUGCGGAAGG